rnacentral:rRNA from 1 species
UGAAUACGAGAUGCUACGGCGUCGAAGCAGUCUAUGUCAUACUUCCAAGAAAAGCUCGCACUGUCAUAAACAAAUAAUGCCUGUACCAUAACCGACACAGGUGGGUAGGUAGAGUAUACUAAGGGGCGCGAGAUAACUCUCUCUAAGGAACUCGGCAAAAUGACUCCGUAACUUCGGGAGAAGGAGUGCCUUAUUUAUAAGGUUGCAAUAACAAGAUCCAAGCAACUGUUUAUCAAAAACACAGGUCUCCGCUAAGUCGUAAGACGAUGUAUGGGGGCUGACGCCUGCCCAGUGCCAGAAGGUUAAAGAAGUUGGUUAGCAUUCGCGAAGCUGAUAACUGAAGCCCUGGUGAACGGCGGCCGUAACUAUAACGGUCCUAAGGUAGCGAAAUUCCUUGUCGGGUAAGUUCCGACCCGCACGAAAGGCGUAAUGAUUUGGAUACUGUCUCGGAGAGGGGCUCGGUGAAAUAGACUUGUCUGUGAAGAUGCGGACUACCUGCACCAGGACAGAAAGACCCUAUGAAGCUUUACUGUAACUUGAGAUUGAAAUUGGACUUUACUUGCGCAGUAUAGGUGGGAGGCGUUGAUAAUAUUCUUGCGGGAUUAUUUGAGCCAUCAGUGAGAUACCACUCUUGUAAUGUUAGAUUUCUAACUUUGUAUCAUUAUCUGGUCAAAGGACAGUUUCAGGCGGGCAGUUUGACUGGGGCGGUCGCCUCCUAAACGGUAACGGAGGCGCACAAAGGUUUCCUCUGAACGGGUAGAAGUCGUAUCUAGAGUGUAAAGGCAUAAGGAAGCUUGACUGUGAGACCUACAAGUCGAGCAGGGACGAAAGUCGGUCUUAGUGAUCUGACGGUGCUGAGUGGAAAGGCCGUCACUCAACGGAUAAAAGUUACUCUAGGAUAACAGGCUGAUCUCCCCCAAGAGUUCACAUCGACGGGGAGGUUUGGCACCUCGAUGUCGGCUCAUCGCAUCCUGGGGCGGUAGUACGUCCCAAGGGUUGGGCUGUUCGCCCAUGAAAGCGGUACGCGAGCUGGGUUCAGAACGUCGUGAGACAGUUCGGUCCAUAUCCGGUGUAGGCGUUAGAAUAUUGAGAGGAGCCUUCUUUAGUACGAGAGGACCGAGAAGGACAUACCUCUGUGUACCAGUUAUCGUGCCAACGGUAAACGCUGGGUAGCUAUGUAUGGAGUGGAUAACCGCUGAAAGCAUCUAAGUGGGAAGCCCACCUCAAGAUAAG